UGGGAAUAGAGUUCCAUGGGAAGAAUUAGUUGUUUAUGUAAAAAAGUAAACACAAGUAACAUAGAGAAUACUUUCCUUGAAGGGUGAAUGGAUAUGUGGCAACAAAUUUCAGUGUUUAGUCCUACAAAACUAUUUUUUAUUUUUUAAUGCUGUCAUAGUAUCCUAUUAUUACUGAUGUAGGCAGUAGAUUAUCACCCCUGGCAAAUAACACCACUGUUUAUAGUGCCAUAGAGUUUUUAUUGAUUUUUCCUAAGUAUUCAUUCAAAAGACCUGUAGUUCAAAAAAUGUAGAGCUACAAAACAGAAACAGUAAAGUCCUGAGUGCAGAAGAUGCAGGAGAUAUGGAAAUAUAUGAUGAAUUGUAGAUCUGGAUGCUCACCUGAAUGUACUAGAGCUGUAGUCUGAAGGUGGCUUGCACAAUGAUCUCUGAAGACCUAUGUAUACGUGCCCCGUAGAGUUGAAGAUGCAGGUGCUUGUGUCACCCUGGCUGAAAAGGAGUGCAAUCCCCAGACUCCUUCCUGCUCACAGCAGGCUCAGCUGUGAACUCAGGCAAGGUCACUCAGCAUUUAUCCGGGUGGAUCUUGAAAACCUCCAAGGACAGGGACUGCACAGCAUCUCUGGGUGAAUCUUGAAAACCUCCAAGGACAGGGACUGCACAGCAUCUCUGGGUGAACUGAUCUACUGUCUGACUGCUUGUGGGAUGAGAAAAGAAUUCUGUAACCUCAGUCUGAAGCCUUCAUUCCAGCUCUUGCCCAGUGAACUCCUGCCGAGCUCCACUGACAAGAGCCUAGCUCUGUCACCUUGUCUCUGCCACAGGUUUAACUAGCACCAGUUCUUAAAUAGAUCAACCUUAGCAACUGCUCAUGCACUUGAGUUCCUUAGUGGGACAGGAAACAUUCAAUAAGAAAAAUCAUGGUUCGAGAUAAAGACACAGAGAUGGUGUACCAGUUACUGUCACAAGGAAAACAGACUAGACAUGGGUAAACUUAAUUUAAUUUAUUGCAUAUUAAAAUAGAUUAAGGUAGCAAUAAGUAAAGAGAAACAUUAAAACCACACAAUUACUUCUUCCUCUCCCAGGCUUAAUUUCAUUCCUUCAGUCCUGACUGUUUUAUGCUCUCUGAGUGGAACAGGAAGUAUGGAACAAGUUAUGGUCAGUUCACCUCAAUUUCUAUCUGCUGCUCCUUCUUUCAUCCACUUUCCCCUGAACCUGUGUGGAGUCUAACAUCCACGUGCUGCAGUGUGGAUAUCUGCUCUGGCACGGUCUUCUUCUGAGACUGCAGGGGAUACCUGCUUUGGUAACUAGAGAACUUUGUCCUCCUCUAUCCUUUCUAAUUUUUGUGUUUGCCUUGCUGUUCCUCAUCCUUUUUGUUCCCCCCUUCUCCCUACACCCAUAUUUUAUUUUAUUUUAUUUUUUGCCCUUUCGUACACAGGUUUGCUCAGAUGCACCACCAGCCUUGAUAAUGGGUGCAGCUGUAUUCUGUGUUAGGUCCACUGGAGUUGUUGUGUGCAGCACAGGCAGCCUCUACCUUUCUCUCCUGGAUGACACCUCCCACAGACACUUCCCCAUAGACACUGGUAUAAAUGUCAAAUGAUCUAAUCAACACAUUUUCACCUGGCUAUUUUCACAACGCCUGAACUUGAAGAAUAAUGCACUUUCUACUUUCUACUCAGCUUACUGGCAGAAUAAACACUACUAAAUCAUGUUUUGCUUCUAAACUCACCACAAACAUAAUCAGUUAUUUUCCAUAAAAGCUAGAAAAACAAUAUUCUGUAACUUGUACACAAACUGCACCAGAAGACUUAAAAAAAUCUUUAAAACUUAAAAAAAUCUUAAAAAAUCAGACUUAACUCCAAUUUAAAUGAAUAAAGUUUUCUCAGGCCUAUCAAUACUGUGUCUCAUGGUCUUCAGAAGCUGUUCUGUUAACAUUACUAAAUGGUGGCUUAGCCUCUUCAAAAAUAUCUUAAAUUUAAGCACAAUAAAUAGCGAGUUAAAAAUAACAGUGUCAUGUCCUAAAAUUUGGAAUCGCUUUCAUUCUCUUUUAUUCACAGAUAAAAGAACACAUUUAUUAAGGGAAGGUAGAAGGAAAAUACUAGCAGCACAUCUCAUUAAGUAAAAGGGAAGCAAAUUGAAAUCUCAGUCAGAAUGAAAAUAUAACCUCCAAUUCCAAUGUAAUUUAACAACACCAUAUGCAAACAAAAUAACUAAUAAAUCUGUCUUAUCUGAGUGUUUCUCUUCAUAUCUUCACUUGUUAAUUCCCAUAAGUCUCUUUUUAUAACAUAACCAUGAUAAUGGGUUUUCACAGAAGGAAACGAAUAUUGUUUUCCUAGCUUUUAUGGAAAAUAACUGAUUUUGUUUGGGUGUGUGAGUUUAGAAGCAAAGCGAAAUUUAAUAGUGUUUAUUCUGUCAGUAAGCUGAAUAGAAAAAUGCUUAUCUAAUAUUCCAGGUUAAUUCAGAAAAAGAUGUAGCCAUUAUCUGAGAAGAGAAUGAGUACAGAUUUUUCAAGGUCAGGAACGAGAGAAGACUGUUGGAUUUUUUUGCUGCAAGUAGAUAUAAAUAGUUUUCUGUUGGAUUGUCACGUCUGAAGAGACUCCAUUGGCUCUGACAAGGUUACUCUGAAUUAAGAUCAGUAUGACUGAAAAUAGAAGCUGAUUCUCUGGAUUUAGAUUAGAAGAAAAACCUUUCUGAUUCUGGGAGCUCAUAGAUAUUUACGUAAUUAUUUUUUUAAAUAUAUAAUGCAUGCAACAUAAUCAAUUAGUAACUGGAAUAUCAGAGACUUUGAGUGUAAGUUUAUUAACCAGCAUUACAGCUGUUUCAUCAGCAAAACUCCGUCUGAUCAUACCUACAACCUUUUAGCAGCAUAACUUCACUAAGAGGAAGAUUCUCAUUAUGAAACAAAUGGGUCAGUGAUUCCAGUGGAGAUGAUCCCAAAAAUUACCUAAAAUUAGAUCUGUCUAUGGACAGGACUCUUUGAAGGUGCAGGGGAUUUGGAGCACUGCAUGACUGCAAUUAUUAUCAUAUGUGAUGGGAAGUCAAGUUUAAAUAUACCCUUGAUAAAUAAAGGCUUCUCAAACCAGAAAGGUAGAUUCAGCUGAACCAGCAGUUAACCUAUCAGCUCUAGGGCUUAAAAUGGCAAUGGAUUCUAAGUGAUGUUCUGUACAGCUACUUUUUGAUGAACUUUUUUUUCAUCUUUUCUGAAUCUUGAUUCAGAGAUUCACCAUUCUGUCACAAAGGAGUGCAGAUCUAUCUUAUAUAAUCCAUGUUUUUUGUAUCUCAAAUGCUACAAUAAACAUGUGCUUCUGUUCAAUUCUUCACUGAUCAUUUAUACCAAAAUCAAGAAAAAAAUUAAUUAAUUUCAUUGGACUGCACUGUUUCAGGAAACACCUUUUUGUCAAAUACAGAUAAGACACUACGGAGAUGAAAUAGGAAAAUUUUCUACAAUAAAUUGCGAUUAUAUACAUCUUUUCAUGAAUAUCUUUCAUUACUGGUAUACCCUGUGGGCCCACUGGUAACGUAAUAUAUUAUCUUGGUGUUUAAUCAUCUAACUAUUCUUGUAAUGGUAAAAACAGAAAAAAGGUUUCUGCCUUUACUAUUAAUUUCCUCACAGUGGACAAUAUGACAAGUCAAACCACUUUGUGGGGAUUGGAUUUGUAAAAGGUCAGGUAG
ensembl:lncRNA